GAGGGUAUAGCUCAGUGGUAGAGCAUUCGACAGCAGAUCGAGAGGUCCCUGGUUCAAACCCGGGAGGCUUUUUCUUCA
rnacentral:tRNA from 1 species